GACGAACGCUGGCGGCGUGCUUAACACAUGCGAGUCGAACGGAAAGGCCCUGCUUUUGUGGGGUGCUCGAGUGGCGAACGGGUGAGUAACACGUGAGUAACCUGCCCUUGACUUUGGGAUAACUUCAGGAAACUGGGGCUAAUACCGGAUAGGAGCUCCUGCUGCAUGGUGGGGGUUGGAAAGUUUCGGCGGUUGGGGAUGGACUCGCGGCUUAUCAGCUUGUUGGUGGGGUAGUGGCUUACCAAGGCUUUGACGGGUAGCCGGCCUGAGAGGGUGACCGGCCACAUUGGGACUGAGAUACGGCCCAGACUCCUACGGGAGGCAGCAGUGGGGAAUAUUGCACAAUGGGCGGAAGCCUGAUGCAGCAACGCCGCGUGCGGGAUGACGGCCUUCGGGUUGUAAACCGCUUUCGCCUGUGACGAAGCGUGAGUGACGGUAAUGGGUAAAGAAGCACCGGCUAACUACCUG
rnacentral:rRNA from 1 species